rnacentral:rRNA from 1 species
CCCUACGGGAGGCGGCAGUGGGGAAUUUUGCGCAAUGGGGGAAACCCUGACGCAGCAACGCCGCGUGCGGGACGAAGGCCCUCGGGUCGUAAACCGCUUUCAGCAGGGAAGACCACGACGGUACCUGCAGAAGAAGCUCCGGCUAACUACGUGCCAGCAGCCGCGGUAAUACGUAGGGGGCGAGCGUUAUCCGGAUUUACUGGGUGUAAAGGGAGCGCAGGCGGCACGGCAAGCCUGAUGUGAAAGCCCGCGGCCCAACCGCGGGACUGCAUUGGGAACUACCGGGCUGGAGUGCCGGAGCGGUA